UACGUAGGGUGCGAGCGUUAAUCGGAAUUACUGGGCGUAAAGCGUGCGCAGGCGGUUUUUUAAGACAGGCGUGAAAUCCCCGGGCUUAACCUGGGAACUGCGCUUGUGACUGGAAGGCUAGAGUACGGCAGAGGGGGGUGGAAUUCCACGUGUAGCAGUGAAAUGCGUAGAGAUGUGGAGGAACACCGAUGGCGAAGGCAGCCCCCCUGGGCCGAUACUGACGCUCAUGCACGAAAGCGUGGGGAGCAAACAGG
rnacentral:rRNA from 1 species